UCUCAAUAGAAUGUAACUCGGAGAGUGG
rnacentral:piRNA from 1 species